CCUACGGGUGGCAGCAGUGAGGAAUAUUGGUCAAUGGACGAGAGUCUGAACCAGCCAAGUAGCGUGAAGGAUGACUGCCCUAUGGGUUGUAAACUUCUUUUAUAUGGGAAUAAAAUGUUCCACGUGUGGGAUUUUGUAUGUACCAUAUGAAUAAGGAUCGGCUAACUCCGUGCCAGCAGCCGCGGUAAUACGGAGGAUCCGAGCGUUAUCCGGAUUUAUUGGGUUUAAAGGGAGCGUAGGUGGAUUGUUAAGUCAGUUGUGAAAGUUGGCGGCGCAACCGUAAAAUUGCAGUUGAAACUGGCAGUCUUGAGUACAGUAGAGGUGGGCGGAAUUCGUGGUGUAGCGGUGAAAUGCUUAGAUAUCACGAAGAACUCCGAUUGCGAAGGCAGUUCACUGGACUGCAACUGACACUGAGGCUCGAAAGUGUGGGUAUCAAACAGGAUUAGAUACCCCUGUAGUC
rnacentral:rRNA from 1 species